CAGGUACCACCAGGUGGCAUACAGGAUGGAGAGGAGCCAGAACCUUGUGAAGAGGAGGCCUAUGAAGAUGACCACGCAGACCUGGGCUGAGAAGGAAGGAAGGCAGAUGUUCUGGACUUGGACUCUUCAAGGAGCUGUAGCCAUAGCCAAGAACAGCACAGGCUGUGAAGAAACACCUUCCUUUCCCAUGUAAGAGGUGGGAGUUGUGGAGGAGAGGAAAGGACACAGCCAGCAAACAAGUCACCCAAGAACGCAUUUGACUUGGGGCUCUGAGCCUUUGGUGACUUCUUGGCUCCAGGUUCCACAGCCCCUCAAGGACAGUGACAUUCAGGACUGAACUCCUAAUCUCUCAAGCCUGCUCCUGAGUGCCCAAGUUCAGUGACGACAGCCAGCCAAAUGUGGGUGAGACUGGGCAUCAACUUGGCCUUCUCCCUCCACCCAUCCAUUCCUUCUGCUCCUGCCCAGGAGCCCAUCUCCUGAAAAUCUCCUGACCCCAAACCUUCUCUCCACCCACUGCCACCCUUUUCAGACUUUUUCUUAAGGGUUCAGAUGGCAAAUAUUUCAGACUUUGCAGUUUAAGGGGCAAAUUGGAGGAUAUUAUGCAUGUACUUAAGCAGCUAUUUUUAAAUGUAGCCUUUAAAAAAUAUAAAAACCAUUCUGAACCCUUGGACUGAACAAAACCAGGGCGCUGGAUGUGGCCCAUGGGCCCUAAUUUGGUGACUUCUGAUCUAGACAGAAUGCUCCUGCUUUUGGUCCCUUCCCCACACCCUCAGCACAGCAGACACAUCGACGGCAGGCACAGGGACCUUUAACACCCAGGCUGGACCUUGUCACUCCACUACCUGAAACUUCCUCAGCUCUCCUUUGCCCUCAGGUUAAGGGAUAAGACAAAACCUCCUGCUCUUGGCACAAAUGAGCCCAGAUCCUUUUUUUUCAGCUGUCCUCCCUCUGGCCCUCCAGGCCCAGGGCUGCUUUGACCCCUACGCUGCUCCUGACCUUCCAGGUUCCUGUGAUAGUGAAGGAGCCAGGCAGGGCCACAGGGCUGCAGGGUGGGGUGGGCAUGGCCAGCUGGAAACACUCUUGCCCUAAAAGAUAACAGGAGGCAGGCUGGGCAUGGUGACCCUCGUCUUCUGUGAUCUGUUGGCUACAGUCACCUGGCACUGGGUCCCCAGAGCCCUUGGACUUGACAGCUUAGGCCUCCCUCCUUCUGCUCUCUUACUGACUGUGGCUCCCACCUCCUCCCACCCCAGCCCCUCUCCCCUCUUCUACCUCCUUAGCCCUUUCUCUGGCAGGAGGAGCCCAGGACUCUGGCUCUGCAGCCUGGGCCUGUAAGGCACUUUCUCUGCUCAUCUACGCAGUGGAAAUAACCAAGUCUGUGUAACAUGUUUAUCAACCCUUAGGGCAGAAACCCAUGUCAAUUAGAAAGGAUGCUAACGUAGGGUCCAGGAGAGCCUGCCGUGCUAGGAAUAAGUUCUUUGGCUGUGAAACCAUAAAGAAAUUCUGAGGAAGUGUGGGGUGGGCACAUAUAUUGUGUGUUAAAAGGCCACUGACCACAAUGUGUCGACAUUUUAGCAACCACGAGAGAGCACAGGCUGAACCCUAGACCCAGGGGGAACAGUUCUUCCCUAGUCCGGUGCCAGCAGAUGAAAUGAAGAAACCCAUUCAUUCACUUCCACCUCCCAACAC